rnacentral:misc_RNA from 1 species
AAUGAGAUGCUGUCACAGG